GGAUGUGAGGGCGAUCUGGCUGCGACAUCUGUCACCCCAUUGAUCGCCAGGGUUGAUUCGGGUGAUCUGGCUGGCCUAGGUCUAAGGCGGUGUCCCCUCCUCCCUCACCGGCUCCAUGUGCGUCCCUCCCGAAAGCGCGCGCUCGGUCCGAAUGUGAGGACGAGACCAUUCCCGAUAGAGGAGGACUGUUCUUCGGUCAAGGGUAUACGAGUAAGCCUGCGCUCCCCUGCUUAGACCUCCAAAACAAGCUCCAAAGAACAACAAACAACUAUCAAAAGUGAAAUUUUUUUUUAAAAAGCCAAUUCCUUUAUAAAUUAUCAAUCCAAGUAAAAUU
rnacentral:snRNA from 1 species